rnacentral:rRNA from 1 species
CCUACGGGUGGCAGCAGUGGGGAAUAUUGCACAAUGGGGGAAACCCUGAUGCAGCGACGCCGCGUGAGCGAGGAAGUAUUUCGGUAUGUAAAGCUCUAUCAGCAGGGAAGAAAAUGACGGUACCUGACUAAGAAGCCCCGGCUAACUACGUGCCAGCAGCCGCGGUAAUACGUAGGGGGCAAGCGUUAUCCGGAUUUACUGGGUGUAAAGGGAGCGUAGACGGUCAAGCAAGCCAGAUGUGAAAGCCCAGGGCUCAACCCUGGGACUGCAUUUGAAACUGUAAGGCUAGAGUGCAGGAGAGGUAGGCGGAAUUCCUAGUGUAGCGGUGAAAUGCGUAGAUAUUAGGAGGAACACCAGUGGCGAAGGCGGCUUGCUGGACGAUGACUGACGUUGAGGCUCGAAAGCGUGGGGAGCAAACAGGAUUAGAUACCCGUGUAGUC